GUCCUCUGGAUUGUAAACUUCUUUUAUUUGGGAAAAAACCCCAGAUUUCUAUUGGGGUUGACGGUACCAGAUGAAUAAGCACCGGCUAACUCCGUGCCAGCAGCCGCGGUAAUACGGAGGGUGCGGGCGUUAUCCGGAUUCACUGGGUUUAAAGGGUGCGUAGGCGGGUAGGUAAGUCCGUGGUGAAAUCUCCAAGCUUAACUUGGAAACUGCCGUGGAUACUAUUUGUCUUGAAUAUAGUGGAGGUGAGCGGAAUAUGUCAUGUAGCGGUGAAAUGCUUAGAUAUGACAUAGAACACCCAUUGCGAAGGCAGCUCGCUACACUAUUAUUGACGCUGAGGCACGAAAGCGUGGGGAUCAAACAGGAUUAGAUACCCUGGUAGUCCACGCCCUAAACGAUGAUUACUCGACAUCAGCGAUACACUGUUGGUGUCUGAGCGAAAGCAUUAAGUAAUCCACCUGGGAAGUACGACCGCAAGGUUGAAACUCAAAG
rnacentral:rRNA from 1 species